CACCGGAGCUUGCUCCACCGGAAAAAGAGGAGUGGCGAACGGGUGAGUAACACGUGGGUAACCUGCCCAUCAGAAGGGGAUAACACUUGGAAACAGGUGCUAAUACCGUAUAACAAUCGAAACCGCAUGGUUUUGAUUUGAAAGGCGCUUUCGGGUGUCGCUGAUGGAUGGACCCGCGGUGCAUUAGCUAGUUGGUGAGGUAACGGCUCACCAAGGCCACGAUGCAUAGCCGACCUGAGAGGGUGAUCGGCCACAUUGGGACUGAGACACGGCCCAAACUCCUACGGGAGGCAGCAGUAGGGAAUCUUCGGCAAUGGACGAAAGUCUGACCGAGCAACGCCGCGUGAGUGAAGAAGGUUUUCGGAUCGUAAAACUCUGUUGUUAGAGAAGAACAAGGAUGAGAGUAACUGUUCAUCCCUUGACGGUAUCUAACCAGAAAGCCACGGCUAACUACGUGCCAGCAGCCGCGGUAAUACGUAGGUGGCAAGCGUUGUCCGGAUUUAUUGGGCGUAAAGCGAGCGCAGGCGGUUUCUUAAGUCUGAUGUGAAAGCCCCCGGCUCAACCGGGGAGGGUCAUUGGAAACUGGGAGACUUGAGUGCAGAAGAGGAGAGUGGAAUUCCAUGUGUAGCGGUGAAAUGCGUAGAUAUAUGGAGGAACACCAGUGGCGAAGGCGGCUCUCUGGUCUGUAACUGACGCUGAGGCUCGAAAGCGUGGGGAGCAAACAGGAUUAGAUACCCUGGUAGUCCACGCCGUAAACGAUGAGUGCUAAGUGUUGGAGGGUUUCCGCCCUUCAGUGCUGCAGCUAACGCAUUAAGCACUCCGCCUGGGGAGUACGACCGCAAGGUUGAAACUCAAAGGAAUUGACGGGGGCCCGCACAAGCGGUGGAGCAUGUGGUUUAAUUCGAAGCAACGCGAAGAACCUUACCAGGUCUUGACAUCCUUUGACCACUCUAGAGAUAGAGCUUCCCCUUCGGGGGCAAAGUGACAGGUGUGCAUGGUUGUCGUCAGCUCGGGUCGGGAGAUGUUGGGUUAAGUCCCGCACCGAGCCCA
rnacentral:rRNA from 1 species